rnacentral:rRNA from 1 species
GAUGAACGCUGGCGGCGUGCCUAAUACAUGCAAGUCGAGCGAAUGGAUUGAGAACUUGCUCUUAUGAAGUUAGCGGCGGACGGGUGAGUAACACGUGGGUAACCUGCCCAUAAGACUGGGAUAACUCCGGGAAACCGGGGCUAAUACCGGAUAAUAUUUUGAACUGCAUGGUUCAAAAUUGAAAGGCGGCUUCGGCUGUCACUUAUGGAUGGACCCGCGUCGCAUUAGCUGGUUGGUGAGGUAACGGCUCACCAAGGCAACGAUGCGUAGCCGGCCUGAGAGGGGGAUCGGCCACCCUGGGACUGAGACACGGCCCAGACUCCUACGGGAGGCAGCAGUAGGGAAUCUGCCGCAAUGGACGAAAGUCUGACGGAGCAACGCCGCGUGGGUGAUGAAGGCUUUCGGGUCGUAAAACUCUGUUGCUAGGGAAGAACAAGUGCUAGUUGAAUAAGCUGGCACCUUGACGGUACCUAACCAGAAAGCCACGGCUAACUACGUGCCAGCAGCCGCCGUAA